rnacentral:misc_RNA from 1 species
AAUUGGUAGACGCUGCGGACUUAAUUGAAUUGAGCCCUGGUAUGGAAACCUAUUAAGUGAUAGCUUUCAAAGUCAGGGAAACCCCGGAAUUCCCAAAAAUGGGCAAUCCUGAGCCAAAUCCUCUUUUCUCAAAAGAAAGGUUCAGAAAACGAAAAAAAAAAGGAUAGGUCCAGAGACUCAAUGGAAGCUGUUCUAACAAAUGGGGGCACCAGUAGAGGAAUCUCUCCACCAAAACGUCAGAAAGGAUCAAAACCUAUCUAUUUUUUACUAGAUUAGUUUACUAUAUAAACUAAUAAUAAUAUAUAUAUAUAUAUAAUUAAUAAAGGCCCGAAUCUCUAGAUGUUUUUUAUAUGAAAAAAAGAAGAAGGAUUGGUGUGAAUUCAUUCGACAUUCACCAAAAAAUCAAACUUUUCUUCAUCAAAUCAUUCACUCCAUCGUCCGAUAAACCUUUUAAAGAACUCAUCAAUCGGACAAGAAUAAAGAUAGAGUCCGCUUCUACAUGUCAAUACUGGCAACAAUGAAAUUUAUAGUAAGAGGAAAAUCCGUUGACUUUUUAAAUCGUGAGGGUUCAAGUCCCUCUAUCCCCAAACAAACCCAUUUUACUCCCAAACUCCUUAUCCUACCCUCUCUCUUUCGGUUACAAAUUUCUUUUAUGCUUCUUUUACAAAGGUAGUUGGGCCUAAAUGACUUUAUCUUCUCCCAUAUGAUAUACAAUACACGUCCAAAUUUAUAAAAGACUCCUGAUUCAAAUUACUUAACAAUCAAUAGCUUGACAAAUACUGAAACUAUGAAAGGGGUCUUCWUGGAGAUAAAAAAAAUUGAAGUACUUGUAGAAAAAUAGGUAAUCCCCCCUUUCCCUUUAAUUGACAUAGACCCCAUUUAGCGACUAAAAUAAUCAAAUGCAUAUGGAUUACUACGCUGGGAAUGGUCGGGAUA